UGACCCCUGGCACGACGAAAGAAAACAACAGGUGCGAUAUUAAACAAUGAAACGCCAAUCACUCGCGUGGACAAACAACAGGAACGGUUAGUGCGGACACUUUACUAAUUGGAAAGACUAACGCUGGGAGGCUCCGAAUACAGGUGACCAACUCAGGCGAGGUGUCGUCAAAUGUUUUCCACGAGACUGAGAUGCACUUGUUCUGAGGGAGGAAGGGAAGUGUAGCGUGACCCUGACUGCAAGCAGCAAGAGACAGGAAAUAUGUCUCCAGCACUUUCCUGUAGCCAAACAGAAGUCCAAGUGAGCUAGACCCACUUCAACAACAUCUCAAACAGUGUUGGCCCGCCUAUAGAAAUAUACAGUUCAACAGUCGGGGAACAUAUAUAGUGCAGUAUUUCAUGGACGGAAUGGAUUUACCUCUGUUGAUUUCAAGGAAAUGAGGGGAGCAUCCUGCAAUAGUUACACAAGAUGACAUCUGUUGGAUCAAGAGGGUCAGAGGUCACACCGACAGCCCAUCUGUCUCCAUCGGCCCCUGUGACCUCAUCCCAGGUGCCAGCACAAAGCGAUGGACUAACAAAUGUCAGUCCCACUUCCUUUACGGAUGUCGCGUCGACCCAGGCUCAAUUUGCAGACCAGAAUGCAUCAAAGUUACAGUCUCCAUACAUCAGUAUUAGAGCAACAUCAUCAACCUCACAGGAUGAGAGUCUGUACAUAUCGAGGACAGGUUUGGAUAGCAAUGCUGUUCCUCCCUUAGCAGAUGUGAUUCCAACUGCCCAAAGCAUGCCACCAUCUUGGAUUCCUUCUUCUCCUCUGAACCCAAGCACAGCAUACUCAUCAGGGUUUUCAAGAAGUGUAUCCAUUACUCCCAGCCUCCCUUUCACAGCAACUCAGUCACAGACAGAUGUCACCAUUCCAUCGUAUUCCGAACAGUCUGCGACCUCCAUCAUGGCAUCAACAUCAGCGGAUGUCAUCGAUUCAAACAGCAACACCAUCCAAACGUCCAAGUCCACCCCUCUACAAGUGCCUUCCGCACCAAAAACAUAUACUAAUGUGCCUUCAGAUAAUGCUGUGAAAACCCAGCCAACGAAAGUUUUGAAAACAACAACAUGGUCACACAUGGCAACAGCAUCACCUGUGAUGGCCACCAGUUCCAUUGGUGCUGGGAUUUUCACAGGGGAGACAACUCCUGGACAUACUGGCGAAAACAAAACUGGAGCUAGGGAACCACCCCCAGGGAUGCCGAGGGAAACCAUUCUCAUCAUCCUCGUACCUGUCUGUGUAGUGGUCCUGCUUAUCUUGGCUAUCGUCUUGGUUACCUGCAUCCGACGCAGGAAGAGUGCGAAAAAGCAAACUGCAGCCCAGAAUCCAGACCUCUGGGUGAACACACGGGCGGAGAUAUCCUUGGUACCCCAGACACCCUCCGCCAUAGAGACGCCCACGGAGAUUGUCCCUGGAUUUAAGCCUGGAGACCGAGUGUAUCGGGUUAUAUAUGGCUUCACUGCGCAACUGGAAGGUCAGAUGACCAUCGCGGAGAAGGAGCUGGUGAAGGUCACUGAGAUGGCUGACAACGGAUGGUGGCGGGGUGUGUCACAGAGUGGGGAGAGAUCGGGCUGGUUCCCUGGGUGCUAUGUGGAGGAGACUAAGAAAGCUGGAGAUGGAGAAGAAGGGCCACAGACCAAGAGGUCCCGAGUCAGCUCCUUCAUGCUGAAGAAGCGGGAACGCAACCGGAAGAAGUCCGCAACAGCUGUGUCCCCCUAUUGCCAGUCCCCUGAUUAUCCCGUGCCCCCUCUGUAUGCUAGCACCUCAGCUCUGCCCAGCCUCAACUCAGCUGAUAUUAGAUGGUUUAAUGAUGGGAGGCUGUACCGAGCACUGUUUGCCUACCAGGGGUCCUCCAAGGGAGAGCUCUCCAUACAGGAAGGGGACAUCCUGCGAGCAUGGGAGAAGGACCGCAAUGGGUGGAUGCAUGGAAGGAAGGAAGCUGACAGGGAGGAAGGGUGGUUCCCAGCCGUCUAUGUUGACGAGAUUCCGUCUGACACGGCCUCCAUAUCAGGGGAGAGCACUCAUUCCUGUCCCAUCACCUAUGAUCAGCUGGCGCCUAACAAAACCAGGGCAUCGGAUCAGGAGUGGCUUGGAAUAGAACAUCGUGCCCUUCAUCCCUACCCCGGCUACUCUGAGACAGAUCUGACCUUCGACAUUGGCGACAUCGUCAUCAUCUAUGAGACGCUGGACAAUGGCUGGUGGUUGGGAAGUCGCGGGGAGGAGGUUGGAUGGCUGCCUGGGUCCUACCUCGAGAUAUUGGACACCAGCAGAGAUGACGACAGUAAAUCAGACGUGUCUAGCGUCCUUAGCUCAGCAGAAGACCGGAGUAGAAUGAUGGAGGAGGACAUAUCUGACAUCACCAGCAACAACAGCAUCAACUCCACCUUCAACUCAACCUUCGGUGAUCCGAAACCGAAGCCCGCUCGGAGAGCUCCACCCCCACCAAAACCAAAACCACUUAAACCGCUCAAAAUACCUGAUCGCCAACACAACCUCCAGACAACCUCCAGCUUCAAGAGUGAACUCCACAAUGUCCUGCUGAAUACUCAAGGAAAGGAUCAAGCCAAUCACAACAAUAAGAGACUCAGUCCAGGCUUGAUGGAAACACCUUCUAACCCCAGGCCUAAAAGACCAGCACCCGCUCCUCCUAAGCGUAAUAACAGUCAAAAGUCUCCUGUCACAAGUCAGCCAGGUUCUCCUAUGCAGGAACUGGUACCCACAACUGUUGCCACAUCCUCAGCAGCUCCUUCAGAGUCUAAGCUCAAACCAGGAGAGAAACCAGUUUUACCCAGAAGGUUUGCCAAGCCUAAAGUGAUCCGGAUACCCCGGCAGUCCUCACGACUUCAAAACCUGGCAAUAAACUCUCGACCAUCGACUCGUCCUGCUCCCCCAAGGCCACCACCUCCCAAGAUUAAUGUGCGUGGUAACACUGCUGGCAAAGUGCAAUCAUCUAACAGUAUUUCAGGAAAAUACCUCAAAAAGACAGAUACCGAUCUUAGUAGGUCCCCAUCUAAUUCUGUGAAUAUUACAAAGAGUGAGAACAGCCUUCAAACAGCUGGUAUCCAUCCAGGUGAUCAUACUCAGCACCUGACCCCAAGGAAGGUUCCACCUGUAGUGCUGCCUCCCAAGGCUAUGAGUCACGUGCGCAGCCCUUCAAUAGACAGGCCAGUAUCAUGCCCAGGAGAAAUGGUGCCAAACAAACCAGCACAAACUGUUCCGAAACCGAGUCCUCGAGAAAAAACACCAGAGAGAGCCCAACUGUCUGGUAGGAGCCCUCAUGAUCAGUCCCUAGUGCCAACCAUUAAUACUCGGCCAGAGGAAACUCCUAGUGCUAUGUCGGACUCCAGAUCUACUGCUAGUCCUACGGAGGAUGGAUAUUCUGUACCCUUCCCAGGCAGUCCUGUGUAUCAGGUGGAAACAGGGCCUUCCCUUUCACCCCCUGUUGUUGAUUCCCCACUUAUCCCAGUUUCACCCCCAGUACAAAGACCCAUGGAUGAUGCACCUAUAUACCAAGUGAUUAAUAAGGAGGCAAAGAAUAAAGCACCUGCUGUCCAGGCAGUGGAGGAAACAGUGGAAGAAGCUUCUUCUGUUCCAACUGUACCUGAGCAAGAUAAGGGUGGAGAGGCACCUGCUCACAUUGUAUCCACAGAUCCAGAGGACAAAGACUCAGAGGACAAAGACUUGGAUGCAGAUAAAGUUAUCAGUCCUCUUUCAUCUACAUCACCAACUGAUAAAUCAGAUCCUGGUACAGAUAAGGUUAUUGACAGUUCUGUUUUAAGUCCAGCCACAUAUGACUCCAAUCCUGGUUCAGAUAAGGUUAUUAUUGCCAGUCCUGUUUUAAGUCCACCCACAAAUAACUUGGAUCAUAAUAAUGACAUGGAUAAGGAUCCAAUCAACAGUCUCCUUGCCAAGAAACCUGCUCCUCAAAAACCGCAGAGAAUUCCCCCUCCGACACUUCCAAAACCCAAAAUAAUCAGCCCACCAACAGCGAUAGAUGUUCCCCCUGAAGGGGUGAGUGGUAGGGUGUCUCAUAUCAUCAAGGAGAUUGAUAAGUUUUCUUCUCACAAAGACAUGUCAGUUCCUCCACCAGUGGCAUCAGAUUCUUGUAGUCCUGAAGUGCAGACAAGACAGCAACAUCCAGAAACCUUAUCUGCGUCCGCUGUUGCCAGUGAUAGUGUGAAUGUGAGUCCUGUGUGUGAUGAAAGUGAUACAGGUCAAAGUGGAAGCAGCCUUGAAGAGGUUGCGGCCAAUCCAGAACCUGACCGUGAGGAACACCAGCAUGCUCAUGAUGGACAGAGUACAAAUAUUCCUGAGAUUGGUGGAGAGAAUUGUGAUACCCCUCUGACAAAUGGUGACAUGAGUGAUGAUUCUGAUGGUGAUUCUAACUCUGGUAAUAUCAUCUUGGGACAAGAUAUUGGUGAGAGUGAUGACCAAGAACUAGACACAAAAACAGGUGCUAAUGGAGAAGUUGAUGAUGUGGACUCAGCUGAGGACAAUCCUCUACAAUCGGUAGAUGCUGCUCCUGAACCAGACCUUGUCAGUGAUUUGUCAGAACCCUACAAUAGCCAGCUGGAGCUCAUACAACCCAUCAGUGGUGAUACAGAGCCUUCUGCUGACCACAUCGAGCCUUCUAAUGGUCUGCCAGAACCUCCACCUGCUCAAACGGAACCUCUGGAUAGUGAUCCGGAACUGUCUGAUGACUGUUCUUCUGAACCAUCAGCACCUUCUAAUGGUCUUCCAGAAGUUCCAAAUGGUCAGUCAGAGGACUCCCCUGAAGAGUCUGUGAAUACCAGCAUGGAUGAUCAGCCUCCAGUGCCAGUGCCAGAAAAACCAACCCCUCCUGUUAAGAAGCCACGUUCACCCAGGAAGGAACGGUCUCCAGUUCCUCCUGCAAGACCACCGCCUCCCAAAUCCCCACCAUCCAAAACCCAGAGGCUGGUGAACCUAGAUGGAGAGGGUGCCAAUAAGAAGAAGACCCUGCGAAGAGCAGUGAAGAGCCAUGUGCCUGAGGGCAAGGGGGAGCUAAGUUUUGAAGAAGGAAGUUUUAUCAAGGAAAUGAGCAAAGCCAUAGGUCGGCCAGGCUGGUGUAUUGGGAUGUUAGCAGAUGGUACAACCGGCCUGUACCCCCAGAGUCAUGUAGAGGAUGCCUCCCAUCGACAGUCCAUCGCGUAGACAGGUCUGAUGAACGGUCCAUCGUGUAGACAGGUCUGCUGAACGGUCCAUCGUGUAGACAUGUCUGCUGAACGGUCCAUCGCGGAACAGGUCUGCUGAACGGUCUAUGGUGUAGACAGGUCUGCUGAACGGUCCAUCGUGUAGACAGGUCUGCUGGACGGUCCAUCGUGUAGACAGGUCUGCUGGACGGUUCAUCGCUUAGACAGGUCUGCUGAACGGUCCAUCGCUUAGACAGGUCUGCUGAACGGUCCAUCGCGUAGACAGGUCUGCUGAACGGUCCAUCGCGUAGACAGGUCUGCUGAACGGUCCAUCGCGUAGACAGGUCUGCUGAACGGUCCAUCGCGUAGACAGGUCUGCUGAACGGUCCAUCGCGUAGACAGGUCUGCUGAACGGUCCAUCGCGUAGACAGGUCUGCUGAACGGUCCAUCGUGUAGACAGGUCUGCUGAACGGUCCAUCGUGUAGACAGGUCUGCUGAACGGUCCAUCGCUUAGACAGGUCUGCUGAACGGUCCAUCGCUUAGACAGGUCUGCUGAACGGUCCAUCGCGUAGACAGGUCUGCUGAACGGUCCAUCGUGUAGACAGGUCUGCUGAACGGUCCAUCGUGUAGACAGGUCUGCUGAACGGUCCAUCGUGUAGACAGGUCUGCUGAACGGUCCAUCGUGUAGACAGGUCUGCUGAACGGUCCAUCGCUUAGACAUGUCUGCUGAACGGUCCAUCGUGUAGACAGGUCUGCUGAACGGUCCAUCGUGUAGACAGGUCUGCUGAACGGUCCAUCGUGUAGACAGGUCUGCUGAACGGUCCAUCGUGUAGACAGGUCUGCUGAACGGUCCAUCGCUUAGACAGGUCUGCUGAACGGUCCAUCGCUUAGACAGGUCUGCUGAACGGUCCAUCGUGUAGACAGGUCUGCUGAACGGUCCAUCGUGUAAACAGGUGUACUAAAUGAUCCAUUGUGCAGACAGGUGUACUAAAUGGUUCAUCUUGUAGACAGGUGUACUUAAUGGUCCAUCAUAUAGACAGGUGUACUUAAUGGUCCAUCAUAUAGACAGGUUUGCUGAACGGUCCAUCGUGUAGAUGUGCGUACUGAAUGGCCCAUUGUGUGAACGUGUACUGAACGGUACAUCGUAUACACGUCUGCUGAUCGGUCCAUCGUAUAGACAGGUCUGCUGAACGGUCCAUCAUGUACAUGUUAGUACUAAAUGGUUCAUCGUGUAGACAGGUGUACUAAAUGGUUCAUCGUGUAGACAGGUGUACUAAAUGGUCCAUCAUAUAGACAGGUCUGCUGAACGGUCCAUCGUGUAGACGUGUGUACUGAAUGGCCCAUUGUGUGAACGUGUACUGAACGGUCCAUGGUAUACACGUCUGCUGUCAAAUCUUUCAGCUUGACUUUCACUGUACAAUUUAUCAUAACAUGGAACCCGAGACUCUACUGGAAGCAAUGUGUGACCUGAUAUAUACUCAUGUCUGUUCUAGAGUGGUAUCGCCGAGACUGAUGUUAGAAUACAUGUAUGUGUAUGACUGGUGCUGUAAAUGGAGGGUGUUAACAUUUAGCAUAUCCAGGUUCCUGGAAGAAAUACCGUAUUCACUAAAAUCAGCACACUGUGCGUUUUGAAAACUGACAAAGGGGGCACGUAAUAAAACCAUCCACAAGGUAAAUAUGUUUUCAGAAAUUGUGCGGUAGCGAGUUCAAAUGUGGAUGAACUAAAAUGUUUUCAAUAAUAAUUCUAAUGCUAUUAUAUGCCCCUUUUACACAACUGUUUUCUAUUACAUACACAAGAUGUCAGUGAAGAUCCGGGGUAGAAUAGGUCUUCAGCAACCCAUGCUAUGCUUGUCGUAAGAGGCGACUAUCAGGAUCGGGCGGUCAGGCUCGCUGACUUGGUUGAUGCAUGUCAUCAAUCCCAAUU
rnacentral:misc_RNA from 1 species